GAACAAAAGAGCGAAGAACAUAAAAGGAAGAAAAGAAGAAAAAAAAUCUAUUCACCUUUCAAUUUUUCUGAAUAUUUAGUUUUUUCUUUUUGUAUUCAAUCUCUGUGAAUGUGUACCUUGUUUACAAAAUUCAAAUGGCCUUCUUAUAGCCCGAUUUACAAAAAAAAAAUAGAAUAAUAAAAAUAAAAUAAAUAAAAAAAGGUUCAC
rnacentral:lncRNA from 1 species